UACAGAGGUCUCAAGCGUUGUUCGGAUUCAUUGGGCGUAAAGGGUGCGUAGGCGGCGAGGUAAGUCGGAUGUGAAAUCUCGGGGCUCAACCCUGAAACUGCAUUCGAUACUGCCUUGCUCGAGGACUCGAGAGGAGAUUGGAAUUCACGGUGUAGCAGUGAAAUGCGUAGAUAUCGUGAGGAAGACCAGUGGCGAAGGCGGAUCUCUGGAGAGUUCCUGACGCUGAGGCACGAAGGC
rnacentral:rRNA from 1 species